rnacentral:rRNA from 1 species
CCUACGGGUGGCAGCAGUGAGGAAUAUUGGUCAAUGGGAGGAAUCCUGAACCAGCCAUGCCGCGUGCAGGACGACGGCUCUACGAGUUGUAAACUGCUUUUGUACGGGGGUAAAAUGCCUUACGUGUAUCGGUUUGAAAGUACCGUACGAAUAAGGAUCGGCUAACUCCGUGCCAGCAGCCGCGGUAAUACGGAGGAUUCGAGCGUUAUCCGGAUUCAUUGGGUUUAAAGGGUGAGUAGGUGGUUUUAUAAGUUAGCGGUGAAAUACCGAGGCUGAACAUCGGGGCUGCCGCUGAUACUGUAGGACUAGAGAGUGGAUGCAGCAGGCGGAAUGUGUAGUGUAGCGGUGAAAUGCAUAGAUAUUACACAGAACACCGAUUGCGAAGGCAGCUUGCUAGGCCGGAUCUGACGCUGAGGCACGAAAGCGUGGGGAUCGAACAGGAUUAGAUACCCUUGUAGUC